CGCACCUUGCACUCCUUGGUAUUCCGAGGAGUAUGCCUGUUUGAGUGUCAGUAAAUUCUCAAACCCUUCCAGCUUUCGUGGUUGGUUUUCAAGGGCUUGGAUACUGGAGGUUUUGCUGGCCUUUCUAGGUCAGCUCCUCUGAAAUGCAUUAGUGGAACUGUUUGCAAUCUAUAGCAGGUGUGAUAGUUAUCUACGCCAGUUGAGGUUGCUCUCCGUCCGUUCUGCUUCCAACUGUCUAGUUGUAGACAAACUAUUACUGAACUUUUGACCUCAAAUCAGGUAGGACUACCCGCUGAACUUAA
rnacentral:misc_RNA from 1 species